rnacentral:rRNA from 1 species
UAGUAAUAGUUAUAUUCUUGAAACUUAAAGAAUUUGGCGGUAUUUUAAUCUAAUUAGAGGAACCUGUUCUGUAAUCGAUAUUCCACGUUAAAUUUUACUAAAUUAUUUAUAUAUCGUUGUCGAAAGAAUAAAUUUUCUAAUAUUUUUAUUUAAAUAAAUGUCAAAUCAAGGUGUAGUUUAUAAUUUAGUAGAAAUGGGUUACAAUAAAUAUAUUUAGGAAUUGAAGGAAGGUGGAUUUAAUAGUAAAAUAAUUUAA